UACGAAGGGGGCUAGCGUUGCUCGGAAUCACUGGGCGUAAAGGGUGCGUAGGCGGGUCUUUAAGUCAGGGGUGAAAUCCUGGAGCUCAACUCCAGAACUGCCUUUGAUACUGGAGAGCUUGAGUCCGGGAGAGGUGAGUGGAACUCCGAGUGUAGAGGUGAAAUUCGUAGAUAUUCGGAAGAACACCAGUGGCGAAGGCAGCCUCCUGGGCCAAUACUGACGCUCAGGCACGAAAGCGUGGGGAGCAAACAGG
rnacentral:rRNA from 1 species